AGUUGUCUAAGUUAUCUUCAAGAGAUUAUACUCAUUUUUGAAAAUUUGGAAAGGGUUCUGAACAAACUAUGAGAAUUUCAAAUAAAUAUUGCAAUAUCCUAUUCUACACAUUCCAAAACGAUCGAAUUAUAAGUGGAAAUAUGUGAUACCAAUUUUUCAACCCUUUAGCUGUGUGACAUGUGAUCCCUAUGUGUUGAUAUGUAACUGAAAUCACUUUCAAUGUAUGCUCUCAUAACAGACCCAACUUUAGCAGAUUUCUCAUUUAAAAUAGCCGGCGCAAUGUUUGCUUAAACAACAGCACAAUUUUUGUUAAAACCGCAGGUAUCUUUGGAUGAACAUCAGGAGACAAAGGCUCUUCAAAAAAAGACACACAAGAUCUGCGAGCACACUAUCAGCAAGCAGACUAUAUUGUUAUGUACACAGAAAAAAAAAACUCUAAGAAAAAAUCAACUACCAAAUUUGUAUGUGAAAGUGUUUACUUUAAAAAAAUGUUAGCAUUGAAUUAAAGACAGACAUGACAGUCUGUUGGCCGCGAAAGCCGGGCAAUGACAUAGGAAAUGCUAUGUUGCUUUUACUAAGGAGUAGCAGUAAAUGAAAGAGAACAAGCAGCGCGAGCCCAACAAAGAAAAUAAAUCGAACCACCCCACCAACCACUUACACUAAAGCUGUGCAGCAAAGCAAGCAUAAGUGUGGCGUGGUUGGCUAUAAGAGGUUGUUGUUUUGCUUAUGAACAAUAAUGUUAUUGUUGUUAUAUGGUGGCUUGCAAAGAGUGUGCUUCAACAACAAAUUUUUACUUUGGGUCGUCGAGAUUCGAAAUAAA